rnacentral:rRNA from 1 species
CAGGCUUAACACAUGCAAGUCGAGGGGCAGCAUGGUCUUAGCUUGCUAAGGCCGAUGGCGACCGGCGCACGGGUGAGUAACACGUAUCCAACCUGCCGUCUACUCUUGGACAGCCUUCUGAAAGGAAGAUUAAUACAAGAUGGCAUCAUGAGUCCGCAUGUUCACAUGAUUAAAGGUAUUCCGGUAGACGAUGGGGAUGCGUUCCAUUAGAUAGUAGGCGGGGUAACGGCCCACCUAGUCUUCGAUGGAUAGGGGUUCUGAGAGGAAGGUCCCCCACAUUGGAACUGAGACACGGUCCAAACUCCUACGGGAGGCAGCAGUGAGGAAUAUUGGUCAAUGGGCGAGAGCCUGAACCAGCCAAGUAGCGUGAAGGAUGACUGCCCUAUGGGUUGUAAACUUCUUUUAUAAAGGAAUAAAGUCGGGUAUGGAUACCCGUUUGCAUGUACUUUAUGAAUAAGGAUCGGCUAACUCCGUGCCAGCAGCCGCGGUAAUACGGAGGAUCCGAGCGUUAUCCGGAUUUAUUGGGUUUAAAGGGAGCGUAGAUGGACGUUUAAGUCAGUUGUGAAAGUUUGCGGCUCAACCGUAAAAUUGCAGUUGAUACUGGAUAUCUUGAGUGCAGUUGAGGCAGGCGGAAUUCGUGGUGUAGCGGUGAAAUGCUUAGAUAUCACGAAGAA